AUGACAAAGUCAUGGUUAAUAUAAGGUAGGUAUGUUAAAUUGAGUUAGGUGAGUGAGACUUGGAUAUAUGGUAAGGUACGGUAAAUAAAGAAAGAAACUAAUGAUAGAGGUAAGAGAUAUGGUUAGGUCAAGUGUAUAUAUAAAUAGAGUAGGCUUGCUAAAGUAGUCUGGGUUUACAUGGGUUUGUCAAUUCAUUAGGUGAAAGACAGAUUACAUAUGGUAGGUGAGUUGUUCAUGAAAUUAUUUAAGGUAAAGGUGGGCAGUGAAUAAAGUGAGGGUAGAAAUUGUGUUAGGAAGAACAAUGUUGGUAAGAAAUGUCAGCUUGAACUGAGGUCAGAAUUAUGAUUCCAGAGGUAGGAUUUUUAAGUGAAAAGUUAUGGUUACGAAAGUAUGACAGGUAAGGAAGGGAAGGGAAGAAUGAGAUGCGGAAAGUUUGUUAGGAAUAAUUUAUGUCGAGCAGUGAAGAUUUAGUAAGGUAGGAAAUGGCUAUUUGCUCAAGAAAUAAUAUAGAAGUACAUGCAAGAAUAAACAUCAAGAAUAAACAUACAUAACAGUAAAGGUAGGUAAUCGUCAGAGGUCAGAUAACUGAUGUGCAAGUUAUUAUAAUGUGCAGACAUAUAAUUUCCACCACAUGUAGUUUUUUUUUUUUUUUUUUUUGUUAAUCUACCAGUGAUGAGUGCAAGAGCAGGUUAUAGGAAUGUGUAUAGACUUGAAAAUAAAAAAAAAAAAACAGUAAGAAUUUUUAAGUUCAGCUUAUCAACUUAAUUUGAUGAACAAAGUCAUGUUUGAUAGAGUUAGCUAGAUUUGGUGAGAAAAA